CAGUCGCCGCGGGAAUACGGAGGGAGCUAGCGUUGUUCGGAAUUACUGGGCGUAAAGCGCACGUAGGCGGCUUUGUAAGUUAGAGGUGAAAGCCUGGAGCUCAACUCCAGAAUUGCCUUUAAGACUGCAUCGCUUGAAUCCAGGAGAGGUGAGUGGAAUUCCGAGUGUAGAGGUGAAAUUCGUAGAUAUUCGGAAGAACACCAGUGGCGAAGGCGGCUCACUGGACUGGUAUUGACGCUGAGGUGCGAAAGCGUGGGGAGCAAACAGGAUUAGAUACCCCCGUAGUCCCUGUCUCUUAUAU
rnacentral:rRNA from 1 species